UACGUAGGGUGCAAGCGUUAAUCGGAAUUACUGGGCGUAAAGCGUGCGCAGGCGGUUUUGUAAGUCUGAUGUGAAAUCCCCGGGCUCAACCUGGGAAUUGCGUUGGAGACUGCAAGGCUAGAAUCUGGCAGAGGGGGGUAGAAUUCCACGUGUAGCAGUGAAAUACGUAGAGAUGUGGAGGAACACCGAUGGCGAAGGCAGCCCCCUGGGUCAAGAUUGACGCUCAUGCACGAAAGCGUGGGGAGCAAACAGG
rnacentral:rRNA from 1 species